rnacentral:rRNA from 1 species
AACGAACGCUGGCGGCAGGCUCAACACAUGCAAGUCGAACGCCCCGCAAGGGGAGUGGCAGACGGGUGAGUAACGCGUGGGAAUCUACCCAGUUCUACGGAACAACUGAGGGAAACUUCAGCUAAUACCGUAUACGCCCUACGGGGGAAAGAUUUAUCGGAAUUGGAUGAGCCCGCGUUGGAUUAGCUAGUUGGUGAGGUAACGGCUCACCAAGGCGACGAUCCAUAUCUGGUCUGAGAGGAUGAUCAGCCACACUGGGACUGAGACACGGCCCAGACUCCUACGGGUGGCAGCAGUGGGGAAUAUUGGACAAUGGGCGCAAGCCUGAUCCAGCCAUGCCGCGUGAGUGAUGAAGGCCUUAGGGUUGUAAAGCUCUUUCAGUGGGGACGAUAAUGACGGUACCCACAGAAGAAGCCCCGGCUAACUUCGUGCCAGCCGCCGCAGUAACAC